CCGACGAGCACCCUGCGCCGGACCGAGGGAGGACAGGGCAGCCCGCGGCUGCUGCCGUGGCCUGAAGGCCCGUGUCCCCCUGAGAUCCCUGUGUCGAGAUCCCAAUGUCGAGGGGGAGGGUGUGAGGAGCCGGUAAACAGCCUCCCUUGCCCUCCUCCGGGAAAACAAUCGUGGAAACCCAGACAGUGCCAUUCGCCAACCACACCCGAGCACGGAGGAAGCUGAGGGAGUAAGUCUGCUGUAGGCGCGCCGGCACAGAGCUGAUGCGUCCCCAGCUUCAUUAACGUCCCCCUAAAGACACUGGGACGGUGUUGUGGAACCUCUCCAGCGCCCACACAGCCCCGGCCCCAGGCGGACGCGCUCCGGCCAUCCCUUUCCAGCAACGACGCCCAUGGACCUCACCCCUCGUGGAGACCUCCCAGGGGAGCAUUUUCCCGCGGUGUCUUUCAGAGGAAGGCGGGGCUGCCGUCGCCCAGGCCAGCAGUCCUCCGAAUUUCUUCUGUGCACUCUCCCUGCCGGGCCUGCGCAGCUGCUGCUUCCGUGGGGAAAACCUGCGAGCCGAAGCCACGGCUGAACCGCAGCUGAAGUCGUGUCUCCGUCACAGGGACCUAGAGACGGUCAUCCAGAGCUGCUGUGUGUGCAAGUUCGAGGCCUCGGCCCCGAAUCACCGCAGACCUCGGGUGACUCCCAGCCCUCCGGACGGAGUUCCCGGGGAGCGCUCCCAUCCCAGCGUGCUGAAAACGGGCGCCCCCGGCCUGAAGAAAAUCUAGCAUUUUCUUUGGGUUGAAACCCAUGUCUUUGAAAAUCAAAUGAUCAGAAAUAAACUCAAAGCUUGAGUCAGCCUCGCGGAAGACCCCUGAAGAACGAGACCCUAUUUUCUCAUCGUUGGGAGUCAAGAAUCACGUCUGGGGCAUUUUCAUCUCUGGCGUAGACACAUGUCUUAGUUACCGGGUGAUGAGUCCAAUGUCCGUCACUGAAGGACUGAUCCAGUGAAUCAUGGUGCACCCUCACGAUGUAUGUUUCUAUAUUUCAGUAAAACCUUUACCACCCCCCCAAAAAAAAGAGGAAGAAAAAAGGAAUGAGGAAAAUCUGUGUCCUGAUGUGGAUUUUCGGGAUUCUCAGACGACCAAAGCCAGUGCAGAGCAGUGUAUGUAGUACUCUGCUUUUCUGGUAACAAAAGGGCAAGAUAGGAACAUAAAUCUGGCCCUGACUGGGGUAGCUCAGUGGAUUGAGCGCAGGCUGUGAACCAAAGAAUUGCUGGUUCAGUUCCCAGUCAGGGCCCAUGCCUGGGUUGUAGGCCGGG